rnacentral:lncRNA from 1 species
AGGGAGGCGGCGGCGCUCCGCGUGUGAAACGGCGCUCAGAAAUGAACGGCGACACAGUGGCUUCAUUGUUCGGCGGCGGGGGAAACUGAGGCCGGAGGGCGGCCGCCGGGUGACUGGAGGCUGGGUCACCACGCUCCCAGAGUGAAUGGGCAUUGGUCAGUGGGGCUUGCGGCCCUAUCUCCCCAGGGAGGGAGAAGAUCUGGGGAGGCAUGCCCCCAUCCCCAAGCCAAUGAGCUCCGGAAGCUCCUCCUGGAAAAGCUAAUUAUUGAGGAACAUUUUUAAGGCUCUUGAUUCAAAUCGUCUGCUGCUGUCCAGAAAGAUGACACCAACUUACACAUCCGAUAAGAAUGGAUGAAAUUAAAAUUCUGGGCCGGACGCGGUGGCUCACGCCUGUAAUCCCAGCACUUUGGGAGGCCAAGGCGGGCGGAUCACGAGGUCAGGAGAUCGAGACCAUCCUGGCUAAUGCGGUGAAACCCCGUCUCUACUAAAAAUACAAAAAAUUAGAUGGGCAUGGUGGCGGGCGCCUGUAGUCCCAGCUACUUGGGAGGCUGAGGCAGGAGAAUGGCAUGAACCCGGGAGGCGGAGCUUGCAGUGAGCCGAGAUUGUGCCACUGCACUCCAGCCUGGGUGACAGAGCGAGACUUGGUCUCAAAAAAAAAAAAAAAGAAAAGAAAAGAAAAGAAAUUAAAAUUCUGAAGUUUGCAUACCUAACUGUUCACUUACGGUAUCUCACAGUCUAAUUAAUUCAUAGCCACAUGCAUAGAGUUUAUUGCAUUUGCAACUAUGCAGCAUCAAAUUGUUGCAAAGGGACCUCUGGAAAGGACUGUCCUUCCUCCCAAUGUGUAUGUGUGUAUGUACAUGUAAUACAUGUACAUAUAAUGAAGAUUACAUACAUGUAUAAUUGUAUUAUAUACAUAUAUAAUUGUAUACGUAUAUAAUACAUUUAUAUAAUCUUCAAUUAUAUGUAUAUGUAUUAUAUAUACAUACAUACACAUUGGGAAGGAUAUAUAUAUAAUUGAAGAUACAGAAUUGAAGAUGAGUAUAUUUAAUAUUUAUCAAAGGGUAAAGGCGCUCAUCCGCAGUUUGGAUCAGAGCCUCAAAAUCUAAAUUCAUGCCACGAAUAGCGUUUUUCAGAUGUUGACUUCCUAGGAUCCUAUUCUUUUAAACCUGAUUCAAUUUUUGUGCCUAUCAAGACAGACACCAAAGAUUUUAUUUAGGAGGAAAUAUGUGGUAUUCUUUUUAAACUUUUCCAGAGACAUCACUUAUGUGAUCUUACUUGGUUUCUACAACAUUCCCAGCCCCAGGAGGCAGGCAGAGUGAUAUUGCCAAUCACAUUUUUGUAGACACAGGCUCAGAGAAGUGACAUUACCUGCUAGAUGUCACACAGCCCAUCUGGGACCCCAGGGCUCAAGCCCCUGCCCUCUGGCCCUGAGUCCUGCCUCUGUCUGUGGACUCCCAGCUCUUGCUGUUGCUAGAGUGUGCUGCUCCUUUACUUGGCAUGUCCACAUUCCUGGGUUGUCCAGGAACGCACAUUCUUGGAGAGGAAGGGGAAUAGAUAUUUUAGCCACAUACAACACUCUGAGCUUGCCAGGCACCUAAUAGGGACACUCAAUAAAUAUUAAUUAAAGAAUGCAGCCACAUUGGCUUAUGUGCUGGCCAGAUCCUUUAAAGUGUCAAGAAUAUUCCUUGAGAGACUGAGUGUUAGGCUGGAAGGCUGUGUGGAGGCGGAGAGGACAGAAAAGUCCUGGAGUAAUGGAGUGCAUUCUCUUGGAAGAUGAAAAUAUCCACCCGCCCCAGGGGGCCCCUAUCUGUCACUGUCACCAGGAGAGAAGGAGGAAGGGAACAUAUGUCUGUUGAGUGCCUCUGGGACCUGUAUUUUUCUUGCUGGGGUGGGAUUUAUUCCGCUUCUCCCGUACUCCUGCAUCUCCAAGGCCAGUGGAGGACACCAGGGGACAGCUGGCUGAGAUCAAGGAUUAACGUCAAGGAAUUUCUUCAUCGUCUCCAUCAUCAAAUUCUACUUAACAUGCUCUGCCCAUUCCAAGAAAAAAAGAGGAAUGAAUGUGAACUCUUUUUGUACAUACAGCCAUUUACUCAAAAAAUGCAGCCGGCAGAGAUUCCACAGCUGGGAAGCUGACUGGUUGCAGUAGAGAAGCUGGCCAAAAUCCACCAAGAUGGCGACAAGAGUGACCUCUGGUCAUCCUCACUGUUACACUCCCACCAGCGCCAUGACAGUUUGCAGAUUCCAGGUAAUGUCAGGAAAUUACCCUAUAUGGUCUAAAAAAAGGGGACACAUGAAUAAUCCACGCCUUGUUUAGCAUGUCAUUAAGAAAUAACCAUAAAAAUGGGCAACCAGCAGCCCUUGGGGCUGCUCUGUCUAUGGAGUAGCUGUUCUUUUAUUCCUUUACUUACUUUUUUUUUUUUUUUUUUUUGAGAUGGAGUCUUGCUCUGUCACCCAGGCUGGAGUGCAGUGGCGCGAUCUCAGCUCACUGCAACCUCUGCCACCCAGGUUCAAGCGAUUCUCCUGCCUCAGCCUCCCGAGUAGCUGGGACUGCAGGCGUGUGCCACCAUGCCCGCCUAGUUUUUCAUUUUCUUUUUAGUAGAGACAGGGUGUCACCGUGUUAGCUAGGAUGGUCUCCAUCUCCUGACCUGGUGAUCCGCCCGCCUCCGCCUCCCAAAGUGCUGGGAUAACAGACGUGAGUCAUCGUGCCCUGCCAUUUCUUUACUUUCUUAAUAAACUUGCUUUCACUUUGCACUGUGGACUUGCCCUGAAUUCUUUCUUAUGCGAGAUCCAAAGAACUCUCUCUUGUGGUCUGGCUCGGGACCACUUUCUUGUAACAGGAGGAAGAUGGCCUAUCUGGGACCUAAUGAGCUCAGGGUGCCUUUGAGAUAUUGACCAGGCAAGUGGGACUGGAGAGCAAAGCAGAGACCUAAUUUUUUUUUUUUUUUUUUGAGAUGGAGUCUCACUCUGUCACCCAGGCUGGAGUGCAGUGGCGCGAUCUCGGCUCACUGCAACCUCCGCCUCCCAGGUUCAAGCGAUUCUCCUGCCUCAGCCUCCCAAGUAGCUGGGACUACAGGCACGUGCUACCACACCCAGCUAAUUUGUUGUAUUUUUAGUAGAGAUGGCGUUUCACCAUGUUGGCCAGGAUGGUCUCGAUCUCCUGACCCUGUGAUGCUCCUGCCUCGGCCUCCCAAAGUGCUGGGAUUACAGGCGUGAGCCAUCGCGCCGAGCCGAGGCCUGUUCAUGUUCUGCCUCUUUGGCUGUAAUGGUGGCUGCCUAUGAGAGGCAUGGGUGGCUGGCAGCCCAGGUAGAAGGAAGCCUUAUCUUUUUCUUCCUCCCCUUUUGUAUUCUUGGAAUUGUGUACCAUUGUGCAUGCAUUGCCUAUUCAAAAA